GACAGAGGUGCCGAGCGUUAGGCGGAAUCACUGGGCUUAAAGCGUGUGUAGGCGGAGGCCUAAGUACCUUGUGAAAUCCCACGGCUCAACCGUGGAACUGCUUGGUAUACUGGGUCUCUUGAGCCACCUAGGGGCAAGUGGAACAAACGGUGGAGCGGUGAAAUGCGUAGAUAUUGGGAAGAACACCAGUGGCGAAGGCGGCUCUCUGGACCGUAACUGACGCUGAGGCGCGAAAGCGUGGGGAGCAAACAGG
rnacentral:rRNA from 1 species